CCUACGGGAGGCAGCAGUGAGGAAUAUUGGUCAAUGCGCGCGAGCCUGAACCAGCCAAGUAGCGUGAAGGAUGACUGCCCUACGGGUUGUAAACUUCUUUUAUAAAGGAAUAAAGUGAGGCAAGUGUGCCUUUUUGUAUGUACUUUAUGAAUAAGGAUAGGCUCACUCCGUUCCAGCAGCCGCGGUAAUACGGAGGAUCCGAGCGUUAUCCGGAUGUAUUGGGUUUAAAGGGAGCGUAGAUGGGUUGUUAAGUCAGUUGUGAAAGUUUGCGGCUCAACCGUAAAAUUGCAAUUGAUACUGGCAGUCUUGAGUACAGUUGAGGUAGGCGGAAUUCGUGGUGUAGCGGUGAAAUGCGUAGAUAUCACGAAGAACUCCGAUUGCGAAGGCAGCUUACUAACCUGCCACUGACAUUGAUGUCCGAAAGUGUGGGUAUCAAACAGGAUUAGAUACCCGGGUAGUC
rnacentral:rRNA from 1 species